UACGUAUGGGGCAAGCGUUGUCCGGAUUUAUUGGGCGUAAAGAGCGUGUAGGCGGCUUUACAGGUCCGUUGUGAAAACUCGAGGCUCAACCUCGAGACGCCGGUGGAAACCGUAAGGCUAGAGUCCGGAAGAGGAGAGUGGAAUUCCUGGUGUAGCGGUGAAAUGCGCAGAUAUCAGGAAGAACACCCGUGGCGAAGGCGGCUCUCUGGGACGGUACUGACGCUGAGGUGCGAAAGCGUGGGGAGCAAACAGG
rnacentral:rRNA from 1 species